GAUUUUAUUCAAUUGCUGGUAUUAUUUUUUAAUAUUAGAGGAAAGUCCUUCCUAACACAAUCUGCGAUGAUUGUAGUGUUUGAGUCUUUAGAAACAAAGAACAAUUAUUAUAAAUAAUUGAUGACUAGUGCCACAGAGACGAGUAAUGUGAAACGCGGUAAACUCCUCAAGUUAGCAACCCAAAUUUUGGUAGGGGCAUUAAGAGAUGAUAAAUGAAUCAAAUCUUAAAUCUUUUUUAAAAAAAGAUAGAUAAAUAAUUGAACUAGACAGAAGAAGGCUUACAAAA
rnacentral:RNase_P_RNA from 1 species